CGGGGCCAUGUUGGGGUCGGCGUCGGCUCCGGCCAGCCCUGUGCACUGAGAGCGGGACGGAGCGGCCGCGAACAAAGAACUUCUCUCCCCGCCGGAUCUAGCGAGCAAAGGCACACAAGAAAGCAUGCAGGGAUUUUGGGAAGAGGAGGCUAUGAUCCACCCACCUUUCACCAUGCAAAGUCACAGAAGUGCUUUGUAGAAGUUUGUAUACGAGUCCUGUGGUGCAAAACCAGCUGCCUUCAGCACCAAUGAUCCCGUGAAUGGCAAACCCUAUCACUAGUGUUCUGAAGUCAAGCACGCUGCCAGGGUGAAGAUCGGUGGGCCAUAUUCUACAGCCCUUGUUCAGUUGCCUCUCUGUGUUUUACUGCCUAAGUCUGGGAGACAUCAGUGAGGAAGCUUCUUCCAGCCAGAAAAGAUGAAUAAAGACUUCAAAAAAUA